rnacentral:rRNA from 1 species
UACGGAGGGGGCUAGCGUUAUUCGGAAUUAUUGGGCGUAAAGGGCGCGUAGGCGGCCCGGUAAGUCAAAGGUGAAAUCCCUCGGCUCAACUGAGGAACUGCCUUUGAAACUGUCGGGCUUGAGGCCGGGAGGGGGUAGCGGAAUUCCCAGUGUAGCGGUGAAAUGCGUAGAUAUUGGGAGGAACACCGGUGGCGAAGGCGGCUACCUGGACUGAUACUGACACUGAGGUGCGAAAGCGUGGGGAGCAAACAGG